AUAUUUACCUGGCAGGAGACAUACCAUGAUCACUGAGGUGGUUUUCCAAGGGCAAGCCUUAUCCACCGCACUCUGGAUGCAAUGUGGGAAACUAGACUGCAUAGUCUGUGGUAGUGGGGACA
ensembl:snRNA U1 U1 spliceosomal RNA